rnacentral:rRNA from 1 species
AGCGUCUAGAGGAGGUGAUUAGAGGUGGUACCUGCUCAGUGUAGGUAGUGGUAUAAAUAGCGGCUCGCAAGCGCCUAAAGGUAGCAUGUAAUAUCUAAAUUAACUGUUUAGCGGGAUGAAUGGAUGUAGUGGAAAAAGGCUGUCUUAGUUAGGGUUUAAUGAAAUUUACGUUUAAGUGAAAAGGCUUAAAUAGAACAAUUAGACGAGAAGACCCCGUGAAGCUUGGAGCCGGGUAGAUACUUGUGAUAGGACCAUUAAGUUGUAUGGACAUAUAAAAAGUCAGUUAUAAUAGUAUAGUUAUAAGUGAUUAAAGGUAUUAGAGGUUUAUGGCUGGGAGGGCCCAGGGGCAGAGCCCCUUGGAAAAGCAGAGAGAGGCUGACAAGUGUUGAGCCACACUUUUAUAUGUGUGAUUAGCGAAAUAAGCUACUCCGGGGAUAACAGCGUAAUUCUUUUGGAGAGUUCUUAUCGAUAAAGGAGUUUGCGACCUCGAUGUUGAAUGUGGUUAUCCUGUGGCUUGUAGAAGGUCUUAAGGGUUGGUCUGUUCGCCCAUUAAAAACCAAAC